GCCGAGGUGGCGGAACUGGCAGACGCGCUACGUUCAGGGCGUAGUGGGCGAAGGCUCAUGUGGGUUCAAAUCCCACCCUCGGCA
rnacentral:tRNA from 1 species